ACAGGCAAAUUUAAAUAUUCUGCAGCAGAUGAUACUACCUUAAAACCAAACAAGUACGAUAAAUGUUGGGAUGUGGUACAGAACAGUCACAAGACAAUUCCUUAUUUUUGUUCCCUUGUUUUUUUCUUUUGUUUUACAAGAGAAUUCUUUUUGAAGGUUGUUUUUUUGGUUUUAAAACUUAUAUACUACAUAUGCCUGGGGAAAGUUAGAACAAUAUCCAUCACAACUUUAACAAUAACUUUCUCAGGAUGGCAGUAUUAUUAUUUUUUCUUUCUUUUUUUUUUACUACCUUUGGUUUUUCUUCAAAAUCUACAAUAUGUAUAUAUUAUUAGUUUACUAGAGUUUGGUUUUAAAAACAAUAUAUGAUCCAAUCAGGGCAGCAGCUGUGCCAUACUGGUGUCUCUAUCCCCAAUAUUUAACACAGUAANNNNNNNNNNNNNNNNNNNNNNCAGCUGUGCCAUACUGGUGUCUCUAUCCCCAAUAUUUAACACAGUAAGUGGCACAGAGUAGGUGCUCAGUAAAAGUGAACUGAAUGUCCUUUGGUUAUAGAUCCUGCCUCCUGGACAGUCACCCUCUAAAGGGAUUUCAGGACAAUGUGAGUCCCCAGAACUCAAGGAUAUGAAAUGACAGCAGGCAAUUUUCACAGGAAAGAGGCCUCUAAGUAUAGGAAAUCAUUUCAAUGCUGCAUUCUCAGGAAUCGGUAACCACUCUUCUCUUUGAAACUAAGCAUUUUGAGUGAUUUACUACAAAUAUACAAUGACAGUUGUGAACACCAGUUGGCUUUUCUUUUCUUUUUUUUUUUUUNNNNNNNNNAGUCUGUUGAUUGCCUUGCUGCUCAAAAUAAAAUAAAAAGGGGAAAUAAAAGCUAACCCUUGCCGUGGCAGGUAAAAUAAUGGCCCCCCCAAAGACAGCCACAUCUUAACCCCUGGAACCUGUGACCUUAUGCAAAAGGAAUUAAGAUUACAGAUGGAAUUAAGAUUUUAACUAGCCAACCUUAAAGUGGAGAGAUGAUCCUGGAUUAUCCUGGUGGGCCUAAUUUAAUAAUAAAGGUCGUAUUAUAAGAGGGAAAGGGAGGCAGGAGAAAGUGAGACUGAGAGAUGUUAAUAUGCCCAACCUUGCUGGCUGUGGAAAUACAGGAAUAAGGCUAAGAACCAAGGAUGCAGGCCAGCUCUAAACUGAAAAAGACCAGGGAACAGAUUCUCCCCUAGGGCCUCAGAAAGAAACUCAGCCACACCUUAUAUUGAUUUUGGCCUAGAGGGACUGGAAGAUUAAAAAUGUGCUCUUUAAGCCACUAAAUUAACACAUCCACCAAAAAAAGCCAAAAUUCUGGUAAUAAAUGUGCACUAAAAAAGUCUUGAAUUGAAUGAAAGCAACCAGUUAAAACUUCUUGGUGAAACUUUUUAAAAGAAUGAUCACUUCUUUUAGGGGAAAACUCUCCCUAAGAAAUCCUACCCAACCUUCAGUCAGUAAGUUCAGUCACUCAGUCGUGUCCGACUCUUUGCAACUCCAAGGACUGCAGCACACCGGGCCUCCUUGUCCAUCACCAACUCCCAGAGUUUACUCAAACUCAUGUUCA
rnacentral:lncRNA from 1 species